CCAAAAAUUAUUUUAAAAAUAUGGGGAUGAUCCUGAGGUUGUGUAGGUCACUGUGGUAUAUUCAUAUACCCAAUUUGAGCAUCGUAUGAAGAAUUAAUUACCUAGUUUGGUUUAGGUGCGUUAAAUGUGCGUUAAAUGAUUGUUUUAAGUUAUUUCACUUCUAGGUGGAACUUAUAACGAGGACGAGCACAUCCAGGGGCGUCAAGGGGGUUACGACCCGGCGACAUACCAGUGAGUGGGCAUUGCUUUCUAUAUAUAUAUACCUAUAUACUCGAUUUCCCCAGAAAUCAAAUUUAAAUGAAAAAUAUAUUUGAAAUGAAAUGAAAUAUGAUGUGAUUGCCAUGCAUAGAAUGUUAUGGAUAUUAUGAACUGUCGUAUGAUGCAUAUAUGUAUGAUGGUGCUGUGGACGCACAGGUAAGUAUUUAAUUACUGUUAUGUUGAGGAUGAUGAUAUAUUGAGCUCAUAUCCUGCACCAUGGUUUAGUGCUUAUAGUAUUCACCGCAUCGCACGCUCGCCUUGGAUCCAAGUAGAUGCUGGUCGUACAGUCCACGCGGAGUGGGUACGACGGGCCAGUCGUAGAGUGUUAGUGAGAUUAUGACUGGUGGGUGACCUUAGGUUAUUGUAUACAGAUGAUUGAUGAGAGAAGCACUAGAGCGAAUAUUACCAUGAGUCGUUCAGACUACAUUAGGUGGUUCCGACUUAUGUGCAGAAGGCCGGACAGGUCACGCGGAGUGACUCCGGCAGAGAGUGAGAUUGAUAGAUGUUGAGCUCUAGGUUCAAUCGUUCAGGGCUAUUAGAGGGCCUCCGAUUGAUUAUUUCUUUUACCUGAUUAUAUUAUGUUAAUGCAUUCAUACUACACUGUUGAAAUUGGCAUGGUACAUUCUUUAUUGAAUCUGUUAUAAGAUUGAUGAUUGAGACAGUUGAGAUAUAUAUGCUAUAUACUAUUUUUCUGGGAAAGUAUACAGGUUUUCCAAAAAGGGGUUAUAAAUGUGGAUUUAUGAAAUGUUUUGGAAAAGCUUUAUUUUCGCCCACUCACGUUUUCUGUUUUUUCGCCCCUCCAGGUUCUAGUUGAUAGUUGAGGCGUUGGUGGCCUACGAGACUGCUUCGGCGUUCUGACAGACUAAAUAAAUGUAGGAUUCACCCGAGGGUGUUGUAAAUUAGUUAUGUUCCUACUUGACUGCACCUAGAUGCUUAUGCUCUGUUUAUGUGUGUUUAGUACACUCUUAUGCACAUAGAAUGCUCGGUUGUAAAUAACUGCAAUUAGUGGUUUUCGUUGACUCGUAUUUUAUUAUUAAAUCGUUUCCGCUUGCGUUAUGGUUACGUCACACUCACGUGACGGCCAGCACGUCCUAGUCUUCGGGUUAGGGUGUGUCAG
rnacentral:lncRNA from 1 species